ensembl:misc_RNA 7SK 7SK RNA
GGAUGUGAGGGUGAUCUGGCUGCGGCAUCUGUCACCCCAUUGAACACCAGGGUUGAUUCGGCUGAUCUGGCUGGCUAGGCAGAUGUCCCCUUCCUCGCUGCUCCAUGUAUGUCCCUCCCAAAGCUACAUGCUCAGUCGAAGAGGAUGGCUUUCCCCGAAUAGACGGACUGGUCUUCGGUCGAGGGUAUACAAGUAGCUUUGCUCCCCUGCUAGACCCUCCAAACAGGCUCUCAAAGUACCAGGUUCAAUCCCCACACCACCACCACCAGAAGCCAGAGCUGAACACUGCUUUGGU